rnacentral:lncRNA from 1 species
GCUAAAGCAUGUAGCUAAAUGCGAGACAGCACAUCUCCCUUAUUUACUUUAUGAAAACUUUUUUAUUUUCCAAGAAAAAUAAUUAAUUUAGAAAUAUAUUAAAAUUUUUGAAUUUAUAUUUUUAAUGAAGUUUAAAAUCCAAUUUGAAUCUUUUACCACAAACUUUUAUUCAAAACAUUUAAAAUUGUAACUUUUAUGUAAAACAUUCAUCAAAAACAAGGGGGAAUAAAACAUGAUUUCCAACCACAUAUGGGUAUUGAAGGUACUCAUUUUAAUAAAGCUUUUAAUACUCAUUUUCUGCACCUAGCCUCCCCUACAAAAGGCUAUUUUAUUGAAGGUACUUUGAAGACUGGUGAUAUUAAAGGCUAUUUAAAUUUUCAAAUUAUCCUUUAUAAGACCUCAACCCGAAGUUCUUUUUAAGGUUAGGUAUUUAUAACAAUUUUUCGUUACGUCGUGUCUUACUCUCCUUAAACUAUAAAGUAUUUUUUCAAAGAUAUAACCAUCCAAAAUCUUUCGUUAAGCAUCACCAAAAUCAAGUAAUUUUUUUCUACUUGUUAGUGCUCCAAAGUCAAUAUAAGUCAUCACCAAAAUCAAGUCAAUAAAAUAAAUUGCAAAUAAGACCAGGGCAGUCAUUAACACCAUGUAUUCAGGGCUUCAUUUUCAGGGUAGGGCUUACAGAAGCAGAGCAGUAAUAUUCAGGCAGUGUAAAAAUUCCUUCAAGAAUGCCACUAACUUCUAGUUUUAGGCGCUGUUUUUUUACAUCUGAU